GGGGGUUUAGCUCAGGGGAAAACGCUCGCUUCGCAUGCGAGAGGCCGGGGGGAAUCGAUCCCCCCCACCUCCA
rnacentral:tRNA from 1 species